rnacentral:rRNA from 1 species
AGCGAACGCUGGCGGCAGGCCUAACACAUGCAAGUCGAACGGCCACUUCGGAAUCGGCUGCAGAUGGGGGAGGCACACGGCGGACGGUUGCCGUUUGCUCGGAAUUCUGCUUGUAAGCUAGCGCUAAUACAGGAUACGCCCCGUUAGGGCAAGGCAGGCUGCCCAAGUAUCGGCCGGCGACCGUUUAGCUUGUUGGGGGGGUAAUGGCCUACCACGGCGAGGAUCAGUAGCUGGGCUGAGAGGAUGAGCCGCGACACUGGGACGCAGACACGGGGGAGACUCCUACGGGAGGCGGCAGUGGGGAAUACAGGAAAAUGGGCGCAAGCCUGAUCCAGCCAUGCUGCGUGAGUGAUGAAGGCGUGAGGGUUGUAAAGCUCUUUUGUCCGGGACGAUAAUGACGGUACCGGAAGAAUAAGCCCCGGCUAACUUCGUG